rnacentral:rRNA from 1 species
AUUGAACGCUGGCGGCAUGCCUUACACAUGCAAGUCGAACGGUAACGCGGGGCAACCUGGCGACGAGUGGCGAACGGGUGAGUAAUGUAUCGGAACGUGCCCAGUUGUGGGGGAUAACUGCUCGAAAGAGCAGCUAAUACCGCAUACGACCUGAGGGUGAAAGCGGGGGAUCGCAAGACCUCGCGCAAUUGGAGCGGCCGAUAUCAGAUUAGGUAGUUGGUGGGGGAAAGGCUCACAAAGCCAACGAUCUGUAGCUGGUCCGAGAGGAAGACCACGACCAAUGGGACGAUAGCACGGACACGCUUCCUACAGCGAGCAGUCGUUGGUAAUUCUGGACCAUGGGGGAAAGGAUGAUCCAGCGACGACGCGUGCCGGAAGAAGGCCUGGGGGUUGUAAACUGCUUUUGUACGGAGCCAAACGGUCUGGGUUAAUACCCUGGGUUACUGACGGUACCGUAAGAAUAAGCACCGGCUAACUACGUGCCAGCAGCCGCGGUACCAC